GACGAACGCUGGCGGCGUGCUUAACACAUGCAAGUCGAACGGAUUGCUUGGUGCUUGCACUGAGUGGUUAGUGGCGAACGGGUGAGUAGCACGUGAGUAACCUGCCCCCUUCUUUGGGAUAAGCACCUGAAAGGGUGUCUAAUACUGAUUAUUCUGCUGGAAUCGCAUGGUUUUGGUUGGAAAGGUUUUUCUGGUGGGGGAUGGGCUCGCGGCUUAUCAGCUUGUUGGUGGGGUAAUGGCUUACCAAGGCUUUGACGGGUAACCGGCCUGAGAGGGUGACCGGUCACAUUGGGACUGAGAUACGGCCCAGACUCCUACGGGAGGCAGCAGUGGGGAAUAUGCACAAUGGACGAAAGUCUGAUGCAGCGACGCCGCGUGAGGGAUGAAGGCCUUCGGGUUGUAAACCUUUUUCGCUUUUGACCAAGGCAGCAUUUUGGUGUUGUUGAGGGUAUGAGGUAAAGAAGCUCCGGCUAACUACGUGCCAGCAGCCGCGGUAACAC
rnacentral:rRNA from 1 species